UACGAAGGGGGCUAGCGUUGUUCGGAUUUACUGGGCGUAAAGCGCACGUAGGCGGAUCGUUAAGUCAGGGGUGAAAUCCUGGAGCUCAACUCCAGAACUGCCUUUGAUACUGGCGAUCUCGAGUCCGGAAGAGGUGAGUGGAACUCCUAGUGUAGAGGUGGAAUUCGUAGAUAUUAGGAAGAACACCAGUGGCGAAGGCGGCUCACUGGUCCGGAACUGACGCUGAGGUGCGAAAGCGUGGGGAGCGAACAGG
rnacentral:rRNA from 1 species